UAUGCCAUAUUUUUUGUAUAGUUCGAAUUAAACUUUAUUAUAUUUUUUAGAACAUUGGUCAUAUACUUGAUGAUGAAAAUACUGAAAUUUCUAAUCAGUUGCUUGUAAAUAAUUCAGUAGAAGUAGUUGAUGAAAUAGGAGAAAUUGAUAUCGUCUAUUUUUGAGCAUUCUAAAUAAUGAAGAAAAAGAGUAUCAGUAUAUGUUACCCAGACAACCCAAAUAUGUAAACGUUACCCAAUAUCACAGAUGUUGUGCACACACAAUUAAUUUGGUAGCAACAGUGGUAAAUAAAAAUUAAUCCAACCAUCCAUUGUACAUUUAAAAGACUAUAAAAAAGGUUUUUCUAAUGCUGCUGUUAAAAAAUAGUUCCGAAUGACUUUUGCCAAGUCAACUGCAUUAUGGAACAAACAAAGGUGCUCGACCAAGUCAGCUGAUUUAAUCAAACAAAAUCUUGGCGUUUAUUUAAUAAUACCCAACGAGACAUGUUAGAAUUCAUUGUAUGAUACAGUGUUGUUGCUUAAUACAUUAAUUAAAAAUAAUGAACUUAAAUUUAGAACUAUUAUGGAUGAAUUGGUUAUUAUGAGAUUUAAUAGAUGUGGCAUUUAAUUUUUAAAUCAAUAUCCAAAAAUGUUGAAAAUAGUCUUUUCUUAGGAGAGUAUAUACUCCAUUACGAUCUGUAUCCAUCCGCGUAAUAUAUCCACUCUUUGUAUUAAAAUGCUUGUAACCAUAGUGUGUAAUCUAUCCUCAUAACUCAAUAAGUACAUAUCCUAAUGUACUUAUCUGACUCAUCCACAUUUUUCGUUUUAACUUAAUAGUUUAGUUCAUUUGAUUCUUAUUAUUCAAUUCUAAUGCUAGUACUAUUUUAUAGUGUGUUAAA